rnacentral:rRNA from 1 species
GACGAACGCUGGCGGCGUGCUUAACACAUGCAAGUCGAACGAUGAUGCUGGAGCUUGCUCCAGUUGAUUAGUGGCGGACGGGUGAGUAACACGUGAGCAAUCUGCCCUUGACUCUGGGAUAACUGCGGGAAACUGUAGCUAAUACCGGAUACUUUCACCGGAAGGCAUCUUCUGGUGAUGAAAGAAUUUCGGUCAGGGAUGAGCGCGCGGCCUAUCAGCUUGUUGGUGAGGUAACGGCUCACCAAGGCGCCGACGGGUCACCGGCCUCAGACGGUUACCCGUCACACGGGGACUGCUACACGGCCCACCCUCCUACGGGAGGCAGCGGUGGGGAAGAUUGCACAAUGGGCGCAAGCCUGAUGCAGCACCGCCGCGUGAUGGAUGAAGGCCUUCGGGUUGUAAACCUCUUUUCGCAGGGAAGAAGCGAAAGUGACGGUACCUGCAGAAAAAGCCCCGGCUAACUACGUGCCAGCCGCCGCGGUAA